AAGAGACAGCAGUCGCCACGGUAAUACGUAGGGUGCAAGCGUUAAUCGGAAUUACUGGGCGUAAAGCGUGCGCAGGCGGUUAUAUAAGUCAGAUGUGAAAUCCCUGGGCUCAACCUGGGAACUGCAUUUGAGACUGUAUGGCUAGAGUGUGUCAGAGGGGGGUAGAAUUCCACGUGUAGCAGUGAAAUGCGUAGAUAUGUGGAGGAAUACCGAUGGCGGAGGCAGCCCCCUGGGAUAACACUGACGCUCAUGCACGAAAGCGUGGGGAGCAAACAGGAUUAGAUACCCCCGUAGUCCCUGUCUCUUAUAA
rnacentral:rRNA from 1 species